AACGAACGCUGGCGGCAGGCCUAAUACAUGCAAGUCGAACGAACCCUUCGGGGUGAGUGGCGCACGGGUGAGUAACGCGUGGGAACGUGCCCCCGGGUGCGGAACAACAGCUGGAAACGGCUGCUAAUACCGCAUAAUGACUUCGGUCCAAAGAUUUAUCGCCCAGGGAUCGGCCCGCGUCUGAUUAGCUAGUUGGUGAGGUAAAGGCUCACCAAGGCGACGAUCAGUAGCUGGUCUGAGAGGAUGAUCAGCCACACUGGGACUGAGACACGGCCCAGACUCCUACGGGAGGCAGCAGUAAGGGAUAUUGGACAAUGGAGGAAACUCUGAUCCAGCCAUGCCGCGUGAGUGAAGAAGGCCUUCGGUUGUAAACUACUUUCAGUAGUGAAGAUGAUGACGGUAACUACAGAAGAAGCUCCGGCUAACUUCGUGCCAGCAGCCGCGGUAAUACGUAGGGGGCGAGCGUUGUUCGGAAUCACUUGGCUUAAAGCGUACGU
rnacentral:rRNA from 1 species